GUCCCUGUAGCGCAAGGAUAGUGCAUUGGACUCCUAAACCAAUAAUCGUGGAUUCGAAUCCCACCGGGGAUG